rnacentral:lncRNA from 1 species
GGGAACUUUGUAUGUCUUUUUAUGGUGAAUUCCUUUAUAUCAUACAGUUUUAUUGUAAAAAUUUAAGGAAACAUUCUAAAUUGAAAUAUCCAACCAAAAAUGCAAUAUGUGUUGAUAUAGUUGUCAUUAUGCUCUUGUAUUUUAUGCUGCUUUUCCAGCCUAAUUUUAUGCUGGGGAUUAUUAAGCAGUCAACCUAUUCCAAUAUUUGUCAUGGGCAAUAUUUUUUCAUCUUGUUUUAUGCUAUUUUCCAACUAGAGUUACUGAGUUGCCAGACUAUUCCAGCACUCUCCUGUGAUAAAAAAGGCUAUUGAAUUCAAAUUUUUCAGGUGACAAGAAUAACCCCAUUAUAGGUUUUGGUUUGAAUGCCUGCCCACUUGGCUAUGCCAAUGGCUGCAUGACAAAGCAAUUCACUUAUCAGUAAGAAAUUAUUUUUCUGCUUCAUUUCUUCUUUGUCUGAGCAAAAGUUCUCUCCAUGCUGAAAUUUCAAUCAUUCAUAUCUAAGUUCCAAGUCAAUAGUUCAAUUCUGGUUUCCAUAUAUGAUGAUAGCCAUCCAUGUACCCAAGUAUUCAUCCGAAACCUGUAGUGCAGUUAGCCUUCAAGAGAAGGAUGAGGUUCAGCCAGCCAUGUCCUGACCUGUACUAAUCAGAAUCAAGCUCAGAUAUGGGUGAGAGAACCUCUAUUAUAUAACUUUUGUUUGCCAUUAUUGCAAAAUAUUUGAUGGAGCCAUCGUAAGGAUGAAUUUUCAUUGUAAAUAAUUGCUAUUGUAAGUAUGAAUAAAUUACGGAC